GACGUAGGGCGCGAGCGUUGUCCGGAUUUAUUGGGCGUAAAGAGCUCGUAGGCGGCUUGUCGCGUCGUCCGUGAAAACUUGGGGCUCAACCCCAAGCUUGCGGUCGAUACGGGCAGGCUAGAGUUCGGUAGGGGAGACUGGAGUUCCUGGUGUAGCGGUGAAAUGCGCAGAUAUCAGGAGGAACACCGGUGGCGAAGGCGGGUCUCUGGGCCGAUACUGACGCUGAGGAGCGAAAGCGUGGGGAGCGAACAGG
rnacentral:rRNA from 1 species